GAAUAAGCGCUGAAGAGUCGAAGUAUGAAUAUGUGGCUGAUUCUAGAGAGCUAGCGGUUGGUGAAAGCUAGUACAGAACAUAAUUCAGAAUUACAGCUUGGAGCUUUCUUUGUUGAUCAAAGACGGGAAAUCCGUUAUCAAAUGAGUGGAAGGCUUGCCUUCAACAAGGGUGGUACCGCGACGAACGUUCGUCCUUUUA
rnacentral:ncRNA from 1 species